CACACUCCAAGCGAAGCUUGAUGUUGGACGAUGCGGUCCCUUUUUUGGGGGAUUGCACGUCUGGAACGCGUGGGCGCCUACCGCCGGACCACGAGCGUAGCAAGACAUUCGUCAAUUUCGUUCAGUGAGUUCCGACGGGGGGCGGCCUCAUUAUUUUCUGUCUCAGAAA
rnacentral:misc_RNA from 2 species